UUCCACAAUGGACGAAAGUCUGAUGGAGCAACGCCGCGUGAGUGAAGAAGGGUUUCGGCUCGUAAAACUCUGUUGUUAAAGAAGAACAUAUCUGAGAGUAACUGUUCAGGUAUUGACGGUAUUUAACCAGAAAGCCACGGCUAACUACGUGCCAGCAGCCGCGGUAAUACGUAGGUGGCAAGCGUUGUCCGGAUUUAUUGGGCGUAAAGCGAGCGCAGGCGGUUUUUUAAGUCUGAUGUGAAAGCCUUCGGCUCAACCGAAGAAGUGCAUCGGAAACUGGGAA
rnacentral:rRNA from 1 species